rnacentral:tRNA from 1 species
GCACCUGUAGCUCAAUUGGAUAGAGCAUUACCCUCCGAAGGUAAAGGUUGUGGGUUCAAAUCCCGCUAGGUGCA